AGCGAACGCUGGCGGCAGGCCUAACACAUGCAAGUCGAACGCACCUUCGGGUGAGUGGCGGACGGGUGAGUAACACGUGGGAACGUACCUUUUGGUUCGGAAUAACGCAGGGAAACUUGUGCUAAUACCGAAUGUGCCCUUCGGGGGAAAGAUUUAUUGCCAUUAGAGCGGCCCGCGUUAGAUUAGCUAGUUGGUGAGGU
rnacentral:rRNA from 1 species